rnacentral:rRNA from 1 species
UACAGAGGUCCCAAGCGUUGUUCGGAUUCACUGGGCGUAAAGGGUGCGUAGGUGGCGGGGUAAGUCUGAUGUGAAAUCUCCGAGCUUAACUCGGAAACUGCAUUCGAUACUGCCGUGCUUGAGGACUGGAGAGGAGACUGGAAUUUACGGUGUAGCGGUGAAAUGCGUAGAUAUCGUAAGGAAGACCAGUGGCGAAGGCGGGUCUCUGGACAGUUCCUGACGCUGAGGCACGAAGGUCAGGGGAGCAAACGGG